UUGAGUGUCCAUACCAUAUUGCGAGUGCCCGAUCCUGUCAGAUCUUGGAAGCUAAGCAAGGCUGGACCUGGUUAGUACUUGGAUUUGAGACUGCCUUAGAAGACCAGGGGCUGCUAGAC
rnacentral:rRNA from 12 species